UUUAAUCUGGCAGCCCUAGACAAGAAUAACAUGUGUACUCCCUCCUAACCAUUUACAGUGUGCAUUUACAGGGUGCUUUCACAGCGCUCCCUGUGUGGGGACUGGUGCUAACCCAUGUUCUGAUUUAACCGAAAGGCACUUGCUCAUCCUUACAGAACCGGCUUUAUUAUGAUCAAGGUUGUAUAAGUCACAGUUUCCUGUUGAAAAGAUUCAGAAGGUGAUUCUGGCACUUGAGUACUAUCUGGAAGCAACUCGUCAUGCCUGCUUUGUGGAAUCAGUGCUCAAAGUGAAAAGCAGAAAAAUGCAGACUGUUGCAGCACGUGCUGGUUAUGGGUACUCCAGGGAGAACAAGGGGUGUUAGAUAAAAGAUAUCUUUGACCCCACCCAGGUUACCACACCACAUUUCAUUGUCAGGUCUCCUGUUGGCUGUGGCACUUGGUCAGAUUUUCUGUGUUCACAAUGACCGUGGCGGUUUUAAGGAGCAUCGGUCCUGUUGUUUGUGGAAUGCCCCUGUAUUGACGUUUGUCUGAGGUUUGUCUGAAGGUUAGACUGGUGUUAGGGCUUUUUUUGGGAGGAAGACCACAGGGGUAAAGUGCCACUUGCUCAUUAUAGCAAGAUUUGGAUUGUUGACAUUGACCUUGACCGCCUGACUGAAGUAGUAGUUGUGAGGCGUCUCCAUUGUGAAGUUCCCCUUCUCCCUCCGGCUCCAUACCACUGUCUUUGGGAAGAAGUCGUUAUGUGUGACCCACACAUAAGUAAGGCUUUUUAAAAAAAAUUUUCCAAAGUGGAUCAAGGUGCUUGUUUUGGGUGAAGCAAAUAAAUAUGUGGAGACACAGGAUUAAGGCUCAAGUCACAAGAUUUACCAGAAAUUAACCCAAGUUGUGUUGCUUUCUGCCUGAUUCCAGUCACUCUGCUGCUGGUCAUCCGUUCGUGAGAUCCAUUUCAAACUGUGGUGAAGAAGGAAGAAUCGGCCCUGAAAGAGGUUGAUUUUGAGGAGAAGAUUUUAAGUUGUCUUUGUCAGCUCGAGCUAUGGGAUGAGGAGGAUAGAGGCCACACUCCACAGUGAGCCAUAUGCUGUCUAUGAAGUUCAUUACUAUUUCGUGGCCCAGAAGAGUGUGCAGCAGUUGAUUUUGAAUCCGAACAACUGCAGGAGGAACACGUGGGAGGAAAGCCGUGGCCGACGGCAUUGAAGAACCCCAGGGGACGCUCCACGAUGCUGAGGCUCCGCCACACUGCAGGGAAGGAGAUUUCGGGAAAGGUGGCUGGUCCACACCAUAAUUCCUGGGGCGAGGCAGUUCCGAAUGCAGCGCUCGCUGCUGCCCAGUAGGCGUCCACACGUCCACACGUGCUUCCUUCUUUGGAAAUACUUGCAUCUUGUCUCAGUGUUGAUCACAGAUCAGAAAUACAGGUUUGACAGAAGACGACUUUAGUCAUGGGCUCCGUGAGGAAAGUCAUGGGCUUGUCCUCUUCCAGGUUACGCUGUCAGGUUGCGUGUGAAAGAUGGGGUUGUAGAGUCUUUCCUAGAUGUUUAUUUCCUGGUUCUAUAAAAUGGUUAUACUGAGUGUUUUCUAUCACUUAAUAAUAUACUUUUGGACUGAAAGAUGUGUGCUACAUGAAAGCAGCUAAUUACAUUCAACUAGUGUAUCUGCCUUUCUUGUGUCAUCAGACUGAAUAGAACAAAUGUUGAAUGAUUUUGUAAAGAAAAUACUUGAAUUCA